rnacentral:lncRNA from 1 species
UUUUCCAAGCAAAUGGUCUGAAGAAACAAGCUAGAGUAACCAUUCUAAUAUAGAAUAAAAUCGAAUUUCAACCCAAAGUUAUCAAAAAAGACAAGGAGGGGCACUUCAUACUCAUCAAAAGUAAAAUCUUCCAAGAUGUACUCUCAAUUCUGAAUACCUAUGCUCCAAAUGCAAGGGCAUCCACAUUCAUUAAUUAAACUUUAGUAAAGUUCAAAGCACACAUUGCACCUCACACAAUAAUAGUGGGAGACUUCAAGACAUCACUCUUAUCAUUGGAUAGAUCCUAGAAACAGAAUCUAAACAGAGGUACAUUAAAAAACUAACAGAAGUUAUGAAACAAAUGGAUUUAACAUAUCUACCGAAUAUUUUAUCCUAAAACAAAAGGAUAUACCUUCUUCUGAGUACCUCAUGGUACCUUCUCCAAAACUGACCAUAUAAUUGGUCAGAAACAGGCCUCAGCAGAUACAAUAAUAUUGAAAUUAUCCCAUGCAUCCUAUCAGAUCAUCACUGACUAAGGCUGAUCUUCAAUAACAACAUAAAUAAUAGUAAGCCAACAUUCAUGUGGAAGCUGAGCAACACUCUACUCAAUGAUAACUUGUUCAAGAAAGAAAGAAAGAAAGAAAGAAAGAAAGAAAGAAAGAAAGAAAGAAAGAAAGAAAGGAAGGAAGGAAGGAAGGAAGAAAGAAAGAAAAGAAAAGAAAGAAAAGAAAAGAAAGAAAGGGAUUAAAGACUUUUGAGAGUUUAAUAAAAAUGAAGCACUACAUACCCAAACUCAUGGGACACAAUGAAAGCAUUCCUAAGAGGAAAACUCAUAGCUCUGAGUGCCCCAAAAAGAAAUUAGAGAGCAUACACUAGCAGCCUGACGGUACACCUAAAAGUUCUAGAACAAAAGAAAGCAAAUUCACCUAAGAAGAGUAGAAGACAGGAAAUAAUCAAAUUUAAGACUGAAAUCAACUAAGUGGAUACAAAAAGAACUAUUCUAAGAAUCAACCAAACAAGGAGCUGGUUCUUUGAGAAAAUCAACAAGAUAGAUAAACCUUUAGCCAGACUAACAAGAGGGCACAGAGACAGUAUCCUAAUUAACAAAAUCAGAAAUGGAAAAGGAGACAUAACAACAGAACCCGAGGAAAUCCAAAACAUCAUCACAUCCU